rnacentral:rRNA from 1 species
UCAAGCUGGAAAGAGCGCAAGGGGAAUGCCUUGGCAUCAGGAGCCGAAGAAGGACGUGACAAGCUGCGAAAAGCCUCGGGGAGGAGCAAAUAUCCAUUGAUCCGGGGAUAUCCGAAUGGGGCAACCCGGCUGGACAAUAUCCAGUCAUCCUGCGUUGAACAAAAUAGGCGUAGGAAGGGAACCGCCUGAACUGAAACAUCUAAGUAGGGCGAGGAAGAGACAUCAACCGAGAUUCCGCAAGUAGUGGCGAGCGAACGCGGAAGAGGCCAAACCGAGAGUAGUAAUACUUUCGGGGUUCGGACAGAAAACGGUAUUGUAAAGGUUUAGUGGAAUGGAAUGGGAAGUCCAACCGAAGAAGGUGAGAGUCCUGUACACGAAAAGCCUGAACAGCCAUCUGUAUCCAGAGUACCGCCGGACACGUGAAACCCGGUGGGAAUACGGGGGGACCAUCCUCCAAGCCUAAAUACUACUCGGUGACCGAUAGUGAAGAAGUACUGUGAAGGAAAGGUGAAAAGUACCCCUGACGGGGAGUGAAAAAGAACCUGAAACCUUGUGUUUACAAGCACCGAAAGCUCAUCAAAGAGCGAUCGGGUACCUUUUGUAGAAUGGUCCGGCGAGUGAAUGUAACCGGCGAGGUUAAGCACCUAAGGUGUGAAGCCGCAGCGAGAGCAAGUCUGAAUAGGGCGUAUGAAGUCGGUUGUAUUCGACCCGAAACCGGGUGACCUACCCAUGGUCAGGUUGAAGUAAAGGUAAAACUUUAUGGAGGACCGAACCGACUCCCGUUGAAAUGGUAGCGGAUGAACUGUGGGUAGCGGAGAAAUUCCAAUCGAACCCGGAGAUAGCUGGUUCUCUCCGAAAUAGCUUUAGGGCUAGCCUUGAAAUAGAUUACCGGAGGUAAAGCACUGAAUUGGCUAGGGGCCGAGAGGUUACUGAACCUUAUCAAACUAAGAAUGCCGGAUAAUCGUUUUUCAGGAGUCAGACAGUGGGAGAUAAGUUUCAUUGUCAAAAGGGAAACAGCCCAGACCCACAGCUAAGGUCCCCAAGUAUAGUUAAGUGGAAAAGGAUGUGGAAUUGCACAGACAACCAGGAUGUUGGCUUAGAAGCAGCCACUCAUUAAAAGAGUGCGUAAUAGCUCACUGGUCGAGUGACUCUGCGCCGAAAAUUUAACGGGGCUAAACUAUACACCGAAGCUUGGGAUACAUCUAAUGUAUGGUAGGAGAGCGUUCUGUAUGGGGAGAAGUCGUAGCGAAAGCGGCGGUGGACUAUACAGAAGUGAGAAUGCCGGAAUAAGUAGCGAGAAUUAAGUGAGAAUCUUAAUGGCCGAAAGUCUAAGGUUUUUGGAGGAAGGUUCGUCCGCUCCAAGUAAGUCGGGAGCUAAGGUCAGGCCGAAAGGCGUAGCCGAUGCACAUACGGUUGAUAUUCCGUAACCAUCUGUAAUUUAAGCAAAGGGACACUUUAAAAGGGUGUGACCCGGGCGUUGGUUGACCCGGGCGUAAGGGACCGAAAUUAGAGUAGGGAAGCACACUUGGCUGAAGGCGAGAAAAGCUUUGCGUAUAGAAACAGAUGCCCGUACCGCAAACCGACACAGGUGGACAGGAAGAGAAUUCUAAGGCCAGCGGGAGAAGGGUAGUUAAGGAACUCGGCAAAUUGACUCCGUAACUUCGGAAUAAGGAGUGCUCGAAAGAGCCGCAGAGAAUAGGCCCAGGCGACUGUUUAGCAAAAACACAGGUCUCUGCCAAAUCGAAAGAUGAAGUAUAGGGGCUGACACCUGCCCGGUGCCGGAAGGUUAAGAGGAGGAGUGAGAGCUCCGAAUUGAAGCCCCGGUAAACGGCGGCCGUAACUAUAACGGUCCUAAGGUAGCGAAAUUCCUUGUCGGGUAAGUUCCGACCCGCACGAAUGGCGUAACGACUUGUGAGCUGUCUCAACAGGAGGCCCGGUGAAAUUGAAGUAUGUGUGAAGAUGCACAUUACCCGCGACUGGACGGAAAGACCCCGUAGAGCUUUACUGUAACCUGACAUUGGAUCUUGAUAACGGAUGCACAGGAUAGGUGGGACGCUGGGAGACGAGGACUUUGGUUUUCGUGGAGCGGCCGUUGGGAUACCACUCUUCUGUUAUUGAGAUUCUAACCUCAAGCCGUGAGCCGGAUGAGAGACAGUGUCAGGCGGACAGUUUGACUGGGGCGGUCGCCUCCGAAAGAGUAACGGAGGCGCCCAAAGGUACCCUCAGAAUGGAUGGAAACCAUUCGAAGAGAGCAAAGUCAGAAGGGUGCUUGACUGCGAGACCAACAAGUCGAGCAGGUACGAAAGUAGGGCUUAGUGAUCCGGCGGUAAGAGAGUGGAAUUGCCGUCGCUCAACGGAUAAAAGCUACCUCGGGGAUAACAGGCUGAUCUCCCCCAAGAGUUCACAUCGACGGGGAGGUUUGGCACCUCGAUGUCGGCUCGUCGCAUCCUGGGGC